AACAAAAAAAUCAAUAGGUUAAUAUAUGAAUAUUAUAAUUACAUCAAAUUGCAUCAAGUUAUAAAAUUAUAAAUAUAAUAUUACGUACAGAUACAAAACAUAAAAAUAUAAAUUGACAUUUUAUAAAAUCAAUGGUUUAUAAAUUUACAUUGAACGCAAAUUAAAUCUAACAUCCGCGCGGGGGCGCGGGUCAAGAUCUAGUGUUCUUUUAAAAAUGAUGACAUGGAUCAUAUAUAAUUAUGACAUUGCUUAACACAAUUAUGACAUAAAAUUUGAUUAUAUAAAUUCAAACUAAAACAAUACAUAUAUGGUAAUUUAUCAUAAACUUACACAGUAAAAAAACUAAUAAAAAAAAUAUUCAUUUAUGUUAUUAGUAUUUAAUAUAUUUUUAAUGUUUCUAAUGACAAACAUCUAUAUAUUGUAAAAUUGCAGUAAGAUAUUGUAUCAAUACCACAUUUUUAUAUAUAAUACUAGGACCGGCCCGCCCUACGGGGGGAGGGGGGGAAGUUAUAAUAAAAAUAAUUUUAUAAUAAUUUAUUAAGUAAUUUAAAAUUAUGAUAGAUUAAAAAAUAUUAUAAAUGAAAAAAUAAUGAAAGAAUUAUGAAAUCAUUAUAAUUAUUUUUUUGUUUGAAUUAUAAUGACAGUAAAUUUCACUAUUCUCUGAUAAAUAACAUUAUAUUUUUAAUAUUUAUUUUAAUUCAAAUGUUUUGUUUUAUAAUAUUCAUAAUUAAACUAACUUAUUUAAGGGUUUUUUUUUGCAAAUAUGACUCAAAAUUUAAAGUCAUUCCUAAAGUAAUUCAUGCUUCUUUUUUGUGAUGUAAUUGUAUAUUCCCUUUGUAUGUAUAUUUUGUAAAAUAUUGUUAAGAAAAGUAUAUAAUAAUGUUUAUGGGUUUUGAGAAUUUUAGGGUGUCCAAGGAUUAUUUAUGUUAAGAUUAGUUAUAUUUGAGUUAAAAUGUUUAAUGAGGGGGUUCAUUGAAUGAUUUAAUGUGAUAGUCAAUGAGGAUGCAUGAAUCCAACCGACUUCCAUAACGGUUCCAAAAUUCAACUAAGGGUAGAAGAAGUGGAAUCGAAAAGCCAAAUACGACGCCUUCCAACUGAUCUUGAUCGGAAUUCAGCGUGGCCGGUGCAGCAAAUCUUCAUUGGCCGUAGGUUUGAACCGGAGUUGUUAAAACACAGAUGAUAUGUCUCUCGUUCGUCGACAUUAUUUUUGGAGAAGAAGCCGUUUCAUGUAGGACCCCCUCAUGUGUUACCCUACAGCCCAGAAACCCAAUUAUGUUAAGCCCAAAACACUGAUCUGAAAUAUUUAUUAACAAAAAGAGAAGAGCUCAUUAAUAAUUGUGAUUAAGUGAAACACUGAGUAUCAUCUAAACUGGACACGUGUCGGCCUGUCAGGAACCGACUUUAUGACGUGGCAAAGCAGGAGUGAAGCGAAUAUAUAUAUAUAUAUAUAUACUAGGGUCUGCCCACCCUACGGGCGGGACAUACUUUACUUGUGAUCUAUAUUAGUAUUUUUUGUAUGAUUUUUUUGGUUUGUGUUUCAGGUUUGCAUUUGCAGUAGAUGCGUAUGAUAAUGCUUUUUGUCAUUUAGAAAGUUUUAAUUGAAGAGGGAUUAUAUGUGAUAAGAUAUAGUUUGCGUAUUUACAAUAGUUAUUUCUAUAUUUAAGAGUUGUGGCAUUGAUAUGUUGUGAGUGAGGGCUUCGAAUGGUCUUCAUGUUUUUUCCUUUACAAAAAUUUGAUCUCGUAUUCGGUGCAUUAUUUGUGGUUUGUAAUAUUUUGGGUUUGGAAGACUUCAGUUGGGGGUAAUAUUUUGUGUAUCUUAUAAGAGUAAGUUGAAACCAUAUUCUUUUUGCAUGUUAUUGGAGUGGAAGUGGUGAUUAUUGAAGUUGCAUUUCUUAUUAAAUGUAAAAUGUUAUAUUUAAUGCAAUAAGGUAAUGUGAAGAAGGUAAAGCAAAGUUAAUCAAAAUAACAAAACAUUGAAAUUGAACAAUGUGAAAACUGAGUAGUGGUCGAUGAGUGUAGACAUUUGUUACUCAUCGUAAAAUCAACUCAAGAACUUCUCCAUUUGUUUAUAGUAAUAACAAUCAACACAUCGAUUUUUCAUAUUAUUGAGAUGGUGUUUUCUUGGUGGCAUUAUAAAGAUUAUAUUUGUUCCAUAACACUUCUUUUUUAAUAUAUAGAUGUUGCAUAAGGAACGUUUGAUCUAUCUCCAGCAUUUGUCAGCUCCAUAAAUGUCGGUUUGCCGUUCAUAACAAUCCAUAUAUUUCAUGCAUUUCUCAUGUCACUUUGCGAUUUUUUUUUAAUUCUGUUUAAUAUUUGUUAUUAUUUUGAAAUGGUGGAAUCAUUCAUCAGCUUUACCCUUUUUAUUUGCAUUUGAUAAAAUGUGUAAAUAUAAUAUCAUAAAAAGUUUCAUUUUUAUUCUUAUAUUUUUUUGAAGUUUAUGUAUUUUAGAUAAUAUUAUAUAUUGUGUGCUAAAAUAGUUUUAGAUUGAUGUAAAUCUUUUGCUAGACUGUAAAUGAACUAUUGAUUAAAAAGAACUUUUUGGUUAUUAAACAUUUUAUUACUAAAUUUCGUAUAUAGAAUAAGAUGAUGAGGAUUAUGUAGUGCUUAAUACAAUUUUAAAAAAUUAUAAUGUUGAAAUUUUAUAUGAAUAUAAUUUUGCUCUUGUAUACCGUGAAAGUACGGCCAAGACCAAGACCAGCGAGAUCUUAAGAAGCUCCUUAUCAUUCACCACAAAAACAAAUCUGCGGUUGGUUUCAGAUCACAGCCUAAAGCAUCUGUAAUGGCCCCAAAGUUUAAAGAGAUGUACAUAUGUAGUAUAUUAAAGAGAUACAGCCAAAAAAAAAAGCAUCUCAUCACUUGUAGAAAAAAAAUAAUAAUAAAUAAAGAGAUACAGCCUUUCGAUUGUAGAAAAAAUAUUUUGAUUAAGAUCUAUCUUAAAUGUUUAUGGCAACUGAAAUCUCACACUGUGUGCAACUUCUUUACAGAGCUAAAACAUGAGAUCAGGAUAAGCGGCUUAGGGUUCAGCACAUUUUUCCUCUGACGAACACUAUUAAGAGGGUUGAGAUUCACACUAAAGGCCAAGUGAGAUUCACACUAUUGUGGGAUGUCGUUUCACCAAGAACCGUUAUCGAGGCAUUCUUAGCCAUCUCAUGUAGCAUGGAUGUUUCAUCAUCAACAUAGCUAGCAGUGAUGAGAUGCUUCUUCAGCUGAGUGAAUCACAAAGUGGAAGCAGAGGUACUUAGAAUCAGAAAACUGCAGAAAGAAUGUGUUAUGAAAAUGGAAUCAAAGUCUAGUGUUUUGAGAAUAGUACCGUACCUCUCAAUGCAUGUCUUUGAUACAGCAUCAAGAAAACUUAGAGAUGAUAAUCUUAGGACAACAUCAUCCUGCACACAACACUGAGAAAAUAAGAUUUGAGGGAUGGGAAUAUUAAGUUUGAAGUUAGGGAGUGACAUCAAAAUUUGAUUACUUAAGACACUGAUGCUCGAAUCUUAACAUCAAAUUCAAACUUAUGAAAUAUGAGUGAUUCUGCUACUCUGCUCUUAAGAAUGUUUUAUGAGAUGACUCUCGAGUCCUAAGUCUUAAGACAAAGAGAUAUGGAUCGAGUAGUUGGUGUAGAAUAAGGUUUUGACUCACCGAAUGGUCCAUGUACGACAGUGUGCCCACCAGGUAAUUGACCUUUGGAUAGAACAAUACCGAUCCUCAGUUUUUGUGGCAACGAAGGUGUCCAUAGUAGUUCGCCCUCGUCGUACCAUGUUGAACUGUUGUCAUCACCUUAAUGAGCACAAACCAAAAUAUUAAACCAAAACUAUGCAUAAAUGAUCAUAUUUAACAUCAUAAUCAUAGUGAAAGAUUUAUACUUUCAUGGAAAGGAGCAUUAUCUCCAUAGUGUAAGAGCCACCACUAUCAUUAUCAAGCAACAGAACUUCUUUCUCUUCUUCACGAACUACCUUUCUAACUGAUUCUCUUGAAGGUUUACUUUUUGAUAUUUCAAAAUACUCUUUCCUUUGUUUAUUGUUUGUAGGCUGAGUCAGUUGCUGCUUGAUACUGAAAGGGAAUCUCCAUUAGAGCAGCAAGAGCAAAUGCAGCUUCUUUGGCUGACUCUGAUGAAUCUCUCUUCAUGAUCUCUGUGAAAUUCACAAACUUUGCAGAGAGCAGGUCAAGAUCAAAGAAAAGGGGUUGGAUACAGAUGGAACUGAAAACUGGGAAUGAGAUGAUACCUUAAAGUUGUCAAAUUCACGCUUAGGGAUCUUGUCGUCGAACUUCCUCAUGUCUUCCCAUCGCCCGUCUCCAACACCGAUUAAAGCAAUCGACAAAGCAUAUGAGCUGUAAGGUGAAAUGAACUCUGGGAUAAUCAGCUUCUGAAAACAGAGUACAAUACAACAGAGUAGAACAGAGUUGCAGAGAUGAAGAAGAAGCUAUUGCAUGUUGUUUCACCUAGCGUUAACAUAGAUCUCUUGUUGACUGAGUUCUCCCUCAGCCUUAUCAACACCUCUCGUUACCUUCACAUUCAGAACGUAGCCUCUUGUUUGCUGUCAUCUCUUCAUAAGGCACAUAAUCUAUACUCUUGGGCCAAGAGAGAAGCGUAACAUAUGCUUUAGGUGCUGGUAUAAGGCAAUGUAGCUUCUCACUCUCCCUAGGUUCCUGAUUUUACAAUCAGAAGAACUCGACUUCAAUUGGUCUAAAUAAACAAAAGAAAUUCAGAUCAGCUCAAAAGUACUCAGAACAGCAGAUCAAGAGGACAAAGUGUGACGCUUUGGAUUUCAAUUAGCAAUCGAGACAUAAGAACAGAUCGACACAAGAAAAUAAGAUCAGAUACACACACAUGCUCACUAAGAAGAAAAAGAUCAAUCCUUUAUGACAUAAUUUAACAAAGGAUCCGUAAAACAUAUGGAGACAGGAAGUAGAAGUAGAUUUAUGGGAAUGAACAAAUAAAUAAGAACGUACAGAGAUAAAAGGAAUCUGGGAGAUCCACUUCUGAAUGCUAAGGGUGGUGAAGAUGAUUGAUGAUUGAUGGAGAUUGAAUUAAUAAGGCUUUAACACCACACGAAAAACACAUAACUCUGACCGCUUCAGAUUCAGUGAUGAAGUUCAGAGGUCGCGGCCGGACAGAGAAGAGAGACGAACACUGGAACUUUGAUGUUUUUGCGGCCCAAAUGAAUAACGAUUAAUGAAACGGUGAGUUCUCAAUAUUGGACACGUGUCGACACCAGAAGCUUUGAUUUAUCUAGCUGGAAUUCUAUGUGGAGCAAACUCUAUUUUAUAUAAAUAGAUAAUACUAGGUUAAGAUUUGCGCCUUGCGCAGAACGAGCAUCCGGUAUACAAAUCUUUAUACGUGAACUAUUAUUUAUUUUACAUUUUACAUAUUAUAAAAUAAUAAAUAUAUAUUUUAUAUUUGAGAAGAAAAUAACUAUUACAUAUAUAGUUAAUUGGCCCAAACACAUAAAUAAAUAUAAUGACUCUUUUUAUUUACAAAUUUUUAUAAUAAACAAAUCAAAACAAUUAUAUUAAUCUAAUUUUCUAUGGUAUAUAGUUAAAUUUAAAUGAUAAUAACAUAUAUAUAUAGUACACUUUUAAUAUGAUAAUUUGUAUUUUUUAUAACAAACUCUUAAACUACUGGAAAAAAAAUUCAAUGUGGAAUUUUCAUAAUUUUCGUAAUUUAAACACGAAUUAAAAAAUUUAAAGAAUAUUUCAAAAUUAAAAUAUUAAGUUCUUCAUACUUGUUCAAUGCAAAUUUAAGAACUAAAAUAUUUAUGUAUUUGGUAUAUAAUUUACUUUAAAGAAUAUUAAAAUAUAUAUACUUUUAAUAUAAAUAAAUUUUAAAUGAGAAUUUCUAUUCAUAUUUUAUCAUCAUUUAUAUCUCUUUAUAACACAAAUUUAAAACAUUGAUCACAAAUUUUUAAUGUGAGACUUAUAAAAAUAUUAGUAAUUUUGAAUAAUUUAAAAUUCUAAAUUUAACAUAUACGAAAUAAAUUAUAUUUUUAUUAUAUGGUGAAUAUGAUGGUGUAAUUUAUUUUAAUAAUAUAAUAUUAAAAAAUGGUGAACGAUAUAAAAAUUGUUACCAAAUCUUUAUAUUCAAAAUUAAUAAUUACAAUACAUAUUUUAAACAUAUUAUGUGACUCUGUAAUUUUUAUUUAAGGAAAGAGUGAAAAUAUCCUUUUGUACAUUAAUAACUAAUUUAUGUUUAGCUUAAUAAAAAAUAUAUUAUCUGUUUAGAUAGACCAACUUAAUUCUCUAUUUAUACUAAAAGUCAUUAUAGUGAUGACACGUGUCAUAGAUAAAAGGUUGUAAUGUUUCUCUUUUAAUAUAUAAGAGAUUGUUUUCAAAAUUUAUUACAUGAUAUUAAGAUUAUUGUAAUAUGAUCAAUUUAGUAUAGAUAUUUACAUUUUGACAUGAUUUUUAGAUAUUUUAAUAAUAUUUAUAUCAUAUCAAUUAUAAAUAUUUAUACUUUUAAUAUAUAGUUAAAUAAAUAAAGCUAUAUUUAAGUUUAUUACUCAAUAUAAGGAUAAACCUAAUCAAGUUCCUAUAUUAUGGAGAAAAUUUAUGUUUACCACUUUCAUGUUACCACUUUUCAUAUUUACCACUACUAAAUGAACAUUUUCAAAUCUUCAUUAUGUGGCAAAAAGACUCUUAUACAUUUGUUAUCUAUAUAUAUAAUAAAUCAUUAUUUAAAUAAGUAAUAGAUAAAAAAUAAAAAAUAAUAUUUUUUUUACGUUUUUGAAUUAUAUAUUUUCAAAUUCGAACUUUCUUAUAAAAAAAAAUUUGAAUUUUUUUUGAAUAUUUUUUUAUUUUUUUUGAAUAUUUUUAUUUUUUUUUCAAAAUUUCUUUUUGAAAAUCGAAAGUUAUGUUUGAAACUAUUUAAAAAAUAAAUAUUUUAAGUAUUUUUUAUAUAUUUAUUAGAAUCCUAAAUUUUUCAUUACAAAAACCUUACCCCACCCCUCAACUCUAAACUCUAAAACUAGAUUAAUUAACCCUAGGGGUAUAAGUAUCUUUUAUCCUUCAUUAAAAAUAAGGGUAAAAGUGAUUAGUGUAAACAUGAAAUUUGGUACUAUGAAUGUGGUAUUUGUGGCAAUUUUAUGUUUACCACUUUCAUAUUAUCACUUUUCAUCUUUAUCACCAAUAAAUGAACAUUUUCAAAAAUAUAUUUUUCAUUAAGUGGUAAAAGACUAUUAUACCUUUGUUAUCUUUAAAUAUAAUAAAUCAUUAUUUAAAUAAAUAAAUAAAAUGAUUUUUUUUAUGUUUUCGAAUUUACUUUUACAAAUUAGCACUUUGUAUAAAAAAAAACGUUUGAAUUUUUUUAAUUAUUUUUUAAUUUUACUUUCAAAAUUUCUUUUUAAAACUCAAAAAUUAUGUUUGAAAAUAUUUUAAUUUUUUUUAAAAUAUUUUUUAAGUAUUCUAUUUAUAUAUUUAUAAUAAUCUUAAAUUUUACAUUCCAAAAAGCCUACCCCACCCUCAACUUUAAACCUUAACUCUAGAUUAGUUAACCUUAAAAGUAUAAGUAUCUUUUAACCUUCAUUAAAAGUGAGAAUAAAAGUGAUUAGUGUAAACAUGAAAAGUGGUACUAUGAAUGUGGUAUUUGUUGCAAUUUCUCCUAAAUUAUUGAAAUGUAUUUAAAAUUUAAUUGGAUAAAAUAAUUUAGUUGAGUGAUUAAAAUUGGAGUCAUUAGGUUUAAUAAUUAUCUUUUAUAAGUUAAAUAUUUUUGACUAAGACCAAUAAAAUAAAAUAAAAUAUAUUAGAUUUUAUUCUUAUAAAGAUAUAAAAUAUUAUAAAAUUUAUUAUUUCAUAAAAUGAAAAUUAGUUUACUAAAUUAAACUAAUUUAAAUACAACUAAAUUAGAAAAUUAAAAUAUAUUAAAGUUACAAAUGAUUACUUUAUACCUAGGGUGAUGAUUGUUUUGCUAGUUUUUAGAUUUUAGUUUUUGGUUUUUGAUUUUUAGAUUUUAGUUUUUAGAUUUUGGUUUUUAGUUUUUGGUUUUUGUAUUUGCAGUAGAUUUUAGUUUUUUCAAAAUCACGAAUGGUGAUUUUAGAUUCUGGUUUUUGGGUUUUGAUUUUUGAGUUUUUUUUAAUUUUGAAUUUUCUGUAUAUUUAUUCCUUUUUUUAAGUUUUGAUUAGUAAUUUAUUAAUUUUAGAAGUUGUCUAUUAUUUUUAAAAACUUGACUUGACUUUACAUAAAACUAGUUUUAAUUAUUACUUUUAUUUUAUUGACAAGUUUUUUAAAAAUGUUAUCUACAAAGUAUUAUUUUGGUCAUAAAGUCUUAUAGUUUAUAAACAUAAAAUAGUAUAAUGAUGAAAAUUAGUUUUUCUAAAUAAUACAAAAAUUAAUUAACAGUAAUAUUUACGUAUUAUUUAAUAGUUAACUUUUAUUAUUAAAUUUAUUUUAUUAAUAAGUUUACAAUUGUAUAUGGGUUAUAGUGUAUUUCAGUAUAGUAAAGCAAAAUAUUUUAUGAAGAUCAAUUUGUUAUAAAAAAAAAUCAAUUUUUAUUAGGUAAAAUAUCAUUCACAGUAUACUAAUUUUAUUAUAUUUAAUAUUAGUUUCAAUUAGCGUAGAUAUAUAAUUGAUCCUUAACAGUAAAAUUAUUCUUUUCCUAUAUUAAUGGGGUUUUUUGUAAACACUUUUUUUGAAAACUCCUAUAUUAUGGGUUAAUAUAGAAAAUAAUAAAAAUAAAUAAAAACUCAAAAGCCAACGUAAAUAGUCAAAAACCAUUGUUUUUGGUUUUUAUGUUAAAAAAACAGUUAUUUGAAAAAACUAGUUUCUCUACAUUUUAGGGAAUCCAUUCUUUGAAAAUCUUGAUUGGGUGUAAAAUGGAUUUUGAAAAAAACAAAAACCAAAAACUAAUCUAAAAACUACAAACAAUCAAGAAUGAAUUAAAAAUAAAUAUAUUAUAUAUUUUGAAGAGUUAUUAUUUCAACGCCAUAGCACAUGAAACCAUUUUGUUGUUGUUGUUGUUUUUGUUUGUUGUUUGUUUAAGAAAAAGUAAAGAGAGAGAAAAAAUCCUCCGACCUCUCUCUAGAAAAGAUUUUUGGAAUCGCGAUCUCCGACCGGCGGUGUGGUUUCUCUGUACCACCGUCGGUCGGGAAAAGUUGUUUUAUGGCGACGUUUAAUCUUCGAUUCUCGUGUUCUCUUCCCGGCAUGGACGGCUCCGGCGGUGUUGCAUGUCCGGCCCCUGCUCCGGUGUCGCAUCUUUCGAUUGAUGGGCGACCGGCUUUGACUCCGGAGACCACACCUUCUUCUUCGGUGAUGGUCUGUCGGCACUUAGCUUUUCUGUUAGUGUUGGUUGUUUUAUUUCUGGGUUUAAUCGGUCUUUGCUUGAUUUCUUUAAUCCGUGGGGCUGGUUUUAAUCUCGGAUUUGGUGGCUUGGAGGCUGUGGAUGAGAUCUCGAAUUGAUCGAUGAUGCUCUCCGCUUAAGGAUUCCAGGCACUGAAGGGUUGUGAUGCAGUUUCUAGUUUCCGGUGUGUUUACCGGCGCCGUUUAGUUUCUCCGGCGUGCUCUCUAGGGGUGAGGAAAGUGGAAGGCCUGGAUGACGCGUGUACCUCGUUUGGUUGAGGGCUAACCACGUGUCAUAUUCUCGAUAAGAAUCUCGACGUAUGUUUGUCGAGUGUUGUUGUUUGGUCAACGUUUAGUGUUACUGGGCUUCGAAGCCCAACUGUUAUCUCUUUUACUUUGUGCUAUAGUUUAAGUUUUGUAUCAGUUGUAUGUUUUUUGAAUGGCCCUUGUACUAUGUGGGCUUUGGCUUUUUAAUAAAAUAAGAUGGCAAAAAAAAAAAAAAAAAGAAACCAUUUUGUUUAGGAUAUAAUCAUAUAAGCUAAGAGUUUUGUAAAUACAGAACUACGGAGAGUAGGUUUUACAGAAGGUAUUCCGUAUUUCAUAGUUUCCUAUUUAUAAAAAUAAACCUUAUUUUGUACAGAGAUAUACUUAUGUCUUUAGUCAUGUACUUCGUCAAUUUUCAUGGUACGGGUAUGUAUAUAUAUAUAAAGAAAUUAAUUUCUUUUUCUAUCAAGCCAAGAUUUAAAACAAUUAGUCAAUUACAGAGAAUUGGUCAAGCAUAAUACAUUUAACCACUUGUCAAACAAUAUAUGACCAUUUCUAUGCAAGAUAUUUAAUAUGGUUUGAAUUAAUUAGUAAACUUAUAAUUCUGGUCGCAUGUAAUUUGUGGUAACUAAACGAUUAAUAGCAAAGAUAAGUCAUAGCCACACAGUUCUUAUAUAAGGACACAUUAAUUAGAUAAACGUGAAGUUGCCCCCAAUAAAAGUUGAAUGUGAAGUUCUCAACCUCUAUAAUAUCCCGCAAUUUAACAUCAGAUUGUCAGAUGGGUCUUCUCCUUGUUUGAACUGCGUAUACCUGAUCUUGUCAUUUCAUUUUCGAUAUAUAUAGAGAGAGGGAGAGAGUGUGAAAAUGGUGGGGCAAUGGUGGAAAGAAGAUGAUGAAAAGGUGGUGAUCCGAUGCUACAAUGAUCGUAGGGACAGAACUGAAAUGGAUUGUGUGGAAAAAAGUUGUGAGAUUGGUAACGACCAAACUUUUCUCUUCACAGACACAUUAGGCGAUCCCAUUUGCAGAAUCCGGAACACUCCUCGCUUCAUUAUGCUGGUGAAUUUCUCUUUGCAUCGCUCUUAUUUUCUUCUUCUUCUCUUUGUUAUUCCUUGUUUUAUAUAAACUUAAACGAGAAUAUAUAUCUUAUAAAAAAAUUUAAUAAUGCUAAAACAAAAUUUUUUUUUGGUGUAAAUCUAAAACAAAAUUUGUGCCAACAAUAUAUAUGUUAACAAAAAGUAAAAACGAUAAGUGAAGUAUUGGAUUGAUAUAACUUUAUCAAAUUUAUGUACAUUAUUUAUAGGUGGCAGAAGUUAGGAACAAGCUGGUUGGUUCCAUACAAGGGUCGGUAAAGCCAGUUAAGUUGCAAGAUAAGUCAGUGAAUGUGGGUUACGUUCUUGCUCUUAGAGUCAUGCCGCCGUAUCGACGCCAUGGCAUUGGUUCGAUUCUCGUGAGAAAGCUUGAGGAAUGGUUCAUGUCUCACAAUGCUGACUAUGCUUACAUGGCCACCCAAAAGGACAAUGAGGCCUCUCUCGGUCUCUUCGUCGGAAAACUUGCCUAUGUCAUCUUCAGAAACCCGGCAAUUCUGGUUAAUCCGGUAAACCCCAGAGGUUUGAAACUACCUUCUGAUAUUGGAAUAAGGAAGCUAAAGGUGAUUUUACUACACAUUGAUUAGUUAUAAAAUCUUUGAAACGUGAAAUAUUUCAAACUACAGCCCACAUUCAUAUAAAAUUCAGAACGUUUUAUAUUGCAUAUUGGGCUCCUUUUUGUAGGAAAAUAAUCUUCAUGAAAAUUAGUUUAUGGUCUCGUUUACAUUUAUAUUUUCUAGAUUUAGGAAAGAUAGUAAAAAAAUUAUCACUCAAAUGUGAGCUUAAGCAGUCACCAGACAUAAUUGUAUAGCAUAAAGUUAACUAAACUAGAGUAGGCUCCCAUGGACAUUUAAUAUCAAUUCUGUAUCUGUAAGUGACAGGUGAAAGAAGCUGCGUCAUGGUACCGGAAACACGUAGUAUCAAAGACAGAUUUUUUCCCGGACGACAUAGUCAAAAUCUUGCGGAACAAGUUAAGUAUAGGGACAUGGGUAGCUUAUUACAAGAACAACGACAAGAUCAUAAGUUGGGCUAUUCUUAGUGUAUGGAACAGUAGCAAAGUAUUCAAACUUAGGAUUGGCAAAGCUCCUUUGAGCUUUGUGAUUCUCACCAAAGUUUGCAACUUCAUCGGUAGAUUCUUGCCGUUUUUAGGCUUAACGGCGUUGCCAGAUCUGUUUACGCCGUUUGGGUUCUAUUUCCUUUACGGUGUGCACGCGGAAGGUCCGUUACGUGGGAAACUCGUUAGGGCAUUGUGUGAGCACGUUAGUAACAUGGCUGCUUUAGAUGACGGUGGGGAGUGUAAGGUCGUGGUGGUAGAGGUCGACGGAGAAAGCAACGGCAGUGAUUAUUCUCUGAGGAGAUGUGUUCCUCAUUGGAAAAUGCUUUCGUGUGAUGAUGACACAUGGUGCAUCAAACCGUUGAAACGUGAAGAGAAUACGACUAGUUUGAAUGACUUUACCAAUAUGUUCCUGAAUUCAAAAUCGCGCUGUCUCUUUGUGGAUCCAAGAGAUGUGUAGUUAAGCUAGCUAGGAAAAUUGGCUGCAUGUUUGGCUGAUAACUUACAGAAUAGAAAAAUAUAUGAAAUUAUUUCGCUAUCUCGUAAAUUAUACUAAUGACAUAAUAUUAAUGAUGCUACUCCAUGACAUUAUGGUCUUUAAUCAGAUGCUAAACGCGCUUGAAUGGCAACCGCCAAAUGCCCAACUGUCGAAAGCAUACAAAAUUAACACUCAUCAAUCAACAAAACACAAUCAAACCCCAUCGACUCACAAAACGUUAAGAUCUUUAAUCUAUGAAUCCAAGACAUCUUGUGGGGUUCGAGUUCUUCUCUGCAUUUUGUUUGGCGCAUGACAUCGCGGGAGAAAUGGACCCUAGUUAAUUAUUAUUUUUGUCUUGAUUCGAGAACAAAGGUGUGAUAGUUUAGGUAAUCAUCGUUCUCCAUAUAAAAUCUGAAAAAGAUUUCCUCAAGUAGGUGCCACCAUUUGUUGUCCUUGGCAUUCUUAUUAUCUAGUUUGAGAGCUGUAAAGUAGUUAAAGAAUAGUCAUUUUCCAUAUGUAUUUUAUUUAAUGAAUAAAUUUUGUUUUGAAUCAGAUUGUAAUCAUAAAAUUUUGUAAUGUAGAUAUCUCAAUAUUAAAUGAAAUUAAUACGAAGGAGAUUGGUCGUGCCGGUUAUGUGGUCCUUUAUGUUCCCUUUUCAUUAGGUUUAGAACCAAAUUUUUAUUGAUGGGCCGUCCUUUAAUUUAAAGAUAGAUAUAACUCAUUCCCUGAUAAGUCGAAUUACUCCAUGUGAUACAUUCAUAUGGCUCCCACAAUUUUAUUGACGUUUACCUUUUUAUGUAUUUACUCUUACUGGCUGGAAUAUGAUGAACUCAUUAUAUAUUAACUGAGAAAUUCUAUGACAUGUGACAUAUGUUGUGUGUAAUCACUAUAAUUCUUAUUAGAGUUUUAGAGAAAUAAAUUGCUUCAUCUAAACAUAUACUAUACUUCUCAUUAAACUAACCAUAACAAUUUGUAUAUCAUUUAUAAACUUUAUAAACUUUAAAUUAUUCAAAAAUUUAAAUCAUUUAACUAGAUAAUAAAAAUAUAGAUAUUUCAUAUAUAUUAUAUUUUAAUUUUAAAAAAAUGAUUAUAAAUUACUAAAACUGUUAAGAGUUUCACACUGCAAAUUUUGUGAUCAAUUGUUUAAAUUUUUGUUAUACCAAGAUACAAAUGAUCAUAAAAAUAUAUGAAUAUGAAAUCUCAUAUAAUAGAUAUUCAUAUUAAAAAAUAUAUAUUUUAAUCAUUUAAAUUAAUCAAUAUAACAUAUAGAAAUACAUAAAUAUUUUAAUUUCAAAAUUUAGAAAUAUGUAUCAUGCUUGAAUUGAUAAAACCUAAAUAUUUUACAAUUUUAGUUUGAUCAAAUCAUUAAAAUAUAUUUUACAUAUCAUUUCUUAUUAUUUAAAAAUAAUUUAAAAACUUUUUAUUUAACAAAUAUUUUAUAAAACAUAUCACUCCUUGCAUGGCACAUGUUUUUUUGUUCAACGGCACAUGUGAGAUAUAUCAUGUGUCAUCAAUAAAAUGAUUGUUAUAAUACUUAGCGAAAUAGAAUUAAAUUACAAGAAUAAUUACAAUACAUGUCAUUCAUUAUUUGGUCCAUCUAAAUAUAUUAUGUAUUUUUUAUUAAACUAAUUAUAAAUCUAAUUAGUAAUCUGCAAAAAAUAUUCUCCUUUCUUUCCUUCAAAUAAAAACUAUAGAAUUACAUAUUGUGACUUAAAAUAUAUAGGACAUUUAUUGUUUUUGAAUAAUAAGAAUUUGAUAAAAUUUAUCCUAUGUCAUUUUUGUUUAAUUUUAUAUUAUUAAAAUAAAUUUAAAAUUACAUCAACGAUUUAACUAAAUUUAGAUUUUUUUUUUAUAUGUUACAUUUGAAUUUUUAAAAGGACUAUGUAUUAGUAGAACUAUUAAAAGUCUCACAAUGAAAAUUUUGUAAUCAAUAGCUUAAAAUCUUCUUUUAACAAGAUACAAACAAUCAUAAAAUAAUAUGAAUAUAAGGAUAACCUUGAUCCACAUGAGACGGACUGUUCAGACCUAGUGAACAUGACCACGAAUCUGAUGGACUGGUUAGCAUUCACGUCGAAAAUUGAUGUUCCUCGGAGCAGAAAUAAUUGGACUGACUAACUAGCUAAAGAGACAAGAAUUAGAAGUCGUACUUUCUCCCAUAUAAAUCAGAUAUAUAUCGUUUAAAAAUAACUAUAUACCAUAUAAGAGAUACAUAUAUUUGUUAUCAUGUAAAAAUAAUUUUAAAACAUUUAUUUAACAAAUAUUUAAUCAAAUAUUUUACUCUGCGGCAAAUUAUUACCUACUUAUUGUUAAAGUAUAUGUUUUAUUUUUAUGUCAAUAUGUGGUGGUGUUUAAAACACGUUUAUACUCCAUACUUAUAUUAGUAGCUUAGUUAACCCAGAUUCGAAAUUCAGAUUUUGAGGUUUAUAAAUAAUUUAACAAAAGUAAAAAAAAAUGUUUUAAUAAUUGGGGAAUUAAAUAUUUUACAUGUAUUAAAUUUUAAAUUUUUGAAUAUAAAAUCAAAUUUUAACUUUUACAUAUAUUUUUUUCUUUUUACAAAAAAAGAAUGUCAAUGAUUCAUUUGGUUAUGUUGUAACCCACUAAACCAAUUAUACACUAUCUCAAAUUUGUUGUAGCCCGAUAUUCAAGAUUGUUUCCACAUAAAUUUUUCUAAUUUAUAUGUAAACUUUUUCAUAGUUUAUUUACUUUCUUCAUUAUUAUCAUUUAUGACUUCACAUAGUAUAAAUUCACUGAUGAUACGGUGGGUACUCAAUUAUUUAUUAUUUGGACUAUGUGUUUAAUUCAUAGUAUAGUAUAAUUACUCACUUCAAUUUUCAUUUUCUAGUGAUCCAAAUAUAUGCAUGACGACAACGACAGAUAUAAGUAGUGCUACAAAAAUAUCAAUAUUUUAUAAUGAAAUUAUGAAUUUAUUGGGGCUAAAACAAAAUAAAAGAGUAGUUGAAACAGAAUUUAUUUCAAUGAGAUUGAUAUUGAAUUACAUGUCCUGAUGUCCCUCAAUUAAACGUCGAUCUGAUGGAAACUCAGUAGGUUUAUUCUCUUUCGGAAUUGCAGACUUGACAAAACGUGCAGGUGCUUUUCCACUCGAGCUUAAUACAGCUAGAAGGUCCUGUCAGUUCAAAGUUUUUUUUAACCUAAGCUACUGUGUUAAGACUUGAGAGUUGAGAGUCACUCAUCUGUUCUUUAAAGCAUUCAGAUCAUUAUCCAACUAUACUUGUGGACGUAAUUGAAUAAUUGGCUCUUCUAACCUAAAUACAUCAAACCAGUUUCCUUCAUCUUUCCAUAGGAGAAAUCUCGAUUUGUUUUUAUGUUAUAAAUUAGUUCUAACUUUAUAGUCCAUUUUAUUUAAUCAUGUACUUUACAUGUUAGGAACGUGUCAAUUUUAUUACCUAGCCAUCUGAUACAAUGUUUCGGUUUUGAUAACAUUAAUAUAAGGAGAUUCCGAUCAACCACUAGACAUUAAUCAAUAUUUAUAUGGCGAGGAAAUAUUAGUCACCUAAUCACGCUCACUUUUGUGUGGUGUGGGAGGCUUCAAAUCAAUCGUCAUAAUCUGAUUACCCUAGAAGGAUAAAACAGACAGCAGUUAGGUGUUGAUGUCAUCUUGCCGAACAAGGAAGCUGAGUGUACUUUACAUGCCCAUUUUUCUGCGCAAGCCGAACCAAUUAAUUGGUUCAUAAUUUAUCAAAUUAUUUAUCAAAACUGUUUUGGACUUGAACAAAUAAAAAGUGUAAUCUUUACAUUACUAAGUAUAUAUGAUGAAAACAUAGGUAUUACGAGAAUGGACUGCGAAAGUACCAAAAUUCACAUAUGCUACACAAUAUUUUGACAUAUUAGGUUGGGCACGUUUUUGCAGUGUCAAUCAUGUAUUAGAAGUCGCACAAUCUUGUGUUUACAUUGUAAGAACUUCAUGGUCUAUGAUGAUAUAUGUGAAUAUAUCAAUCACCAACGAAGAACAUGUAAUGUCUAGUAAAAUGGGUGGAGUACCUGCCGUGUGGUUUUGACCAUGCAUCAACAAGUUUCACCAUUUGCGAAAACUGUUGUGGUCCCUUUUAACCAUCGUACCAUUUUACAUCAUAUAGUAACAUACCCAGCUUUAAACAUACAUCUGGAUUUGCCAAAGCUUUGGUCCAUAAUCAACCUCGUAUAUCUUUAGGCUUUUGAUCCUCCUAUGUCAUUUCUUCAGAUUUUCAAGGGAUUGAACCUUAGUGACUGCAUCGGUCAUGAGAUCGCCUGAAAAAAUACAUGUAUGAAACCUUAAGUUAUCUUGAUAUGCUUGAAUUUGGAAGUGAUUUAAAUUUCAGCUAACUAGUAAAAGGUCACAUUCGUUGGAUUGAACGAAUCCCACCAAUUGUGGUCAUCGUGGUUAGAAAGAAUAACUUUGUAAUCAAGAUCGACAUGUAGGGAUGCAUGAUAUGUUUUAGAGCAUGUCCAACAGAGAGUUUUCUCUUUGGAGUUUUAAAAAUACAUAUAUGUAAUGUACACACACAUAUCGGUAUUUUUAGAACUCUAAGGGGAGAGCUUCCCACUAGGGAUGUUCUUAAGAUUUGAAAAGUGCAUUAAGUAAAUAAGGAUGUUUUUAAGACAAUAAUAUCCUUUUUCACAAUAAGAACUAACUAGGAUAAAAUAUGUGUCUUGCGCAUGGCAAAUUUAUAUGAAAACUAUUUAAGAAAUAUCGUAUGAAAAAAUUAAAUUUAUAUUCUUGAUCGAAUAAAUAUUUUUGGCCCUUAACUAAUUUUUUAAAAACUUUUUUUGUUAAUUAUAUAAUUUGUUUACUAAUGAGCUCAUCUCAUUUUAAAAAUAUUUUAGGUCAAAAAAUUAUUUAUCGCAUAAGAACCUAACGUUUAGACUGAAGAAUUUAAGGCCUACUAUAUGGUUACAAUGAAACUAUGAGAGCUCGGUUUUAUAUUAUGAUUUAGCCAUUAAAAAUUUAGUUAUGGUUAUGAAAAGUUUACGUUCACGUGUCAAUCCUAAUUAUGCUUUUCAUUUUUUUAUCCAUUUUUUCAUUUUGGUUAUUGCUCGAUAUAAAUAUUUAUUUUGAGUUUAUUCUCAUUUUGUUAUUUUGUUUUGUCCUGAGAUUUAGAAAAUAUUUUAAAAUUAUUAAAGAGAUACAUACUUAGGUUAUGAUCCGCGCUUUGAGAAGAAUAUAUAUUUUAUAUUUAUUACUUAUUAUGUAUUUUUCUGUAUAUUACGAGAUAAUAAAAUAUUAAUUAUAUAUUAAAUAACUAAGAAAUCAGUUAAUAUUAUUUAAUAAAUUGGCGUGCGCAUAUAAUUUAAACUACUGCUCUUGUUUAUUCGCAAUCAUUUUAGGAUAAAUAAAUCAAAACAAUCUCUUAUCUAUCGUAUAUGAUAUAUAAUUAAAAUUAAAUGAUAUUAACAUAGAUAUAUAGUAUACUUUUAAUAUGGAUAUUUAUUAAAUAAGGUUUCUACUCAUAUGAUUUUAUGAUUAUUUGCAUAUUUAUUAACAAAAUUUUACACCAACGAUUUUUUUUAAUGUGGAAUGUUUAGUGGCUUCAAUAAUUUAUAAUCAUUAAAAAAACAAUGAAAAUUUUAAAAUUAAAAUAUCAACUUUUCAAUAUAUGUUUAACGUAGAUAUCAAAAUAUAAGUAUGUAUUUUCAUAUGAUGUAUAUAUAGUUUAAUUUAAACGAUAUGAAAUAUAUAUAUAUAUAUAUAUAUAUAUAUAUUAACAUAAGCACCUAUUAAAAUAAAAUUAUUUAUUCAUAUGAUUUUAUAAUCAUUGUACCUUAUUAUAGAAAAAAAUUUAAACCUUGAUCACAAAAGUUUAUGUGACACUUUUAACAGCUUUAGUAAUUUAUACUCGUUUUGAAAAAUUCAAAAUACAACAUAUACAAAAAAAAUAUAAUAUUUUAUUAUAUGAUUAAUGUAAUUGUGUAAUUUAUUAUAAUAAUAAAUAAUUUAAAAAAUGAUAGAAAAUAUACAUAUUGUUAGCAAAUCUUUAUUAUUUAAAAUCAUUAAUUGUCAUAUAUAUAUUAAUCACAUUAGGUAAUUCUGUAGAUUUUAUUUAAGGAAAUAAUUCAAUUUGAUAAAUGAAUGGCCUAUAAUCCCUUAUAUAUUAAUUGAAAACAUUACAACAUUGUUUUGUAGCCACAUGUCACCAUGAGAAUGAAAUUCAGAAUUUUUAGAAAAUAGAUUGGUCCAUCUUAACUUAUAUUAUAUUUUUUAUUAAACGAACUAUUAAAUUUAUAAAUAGUAUACAAAAGAAUAUUCUGCACAUUCCUUAAAUAAAAGGUACGGAAUUUCUUAAUAUGAUUAACGUAUAUAUGACAAUCAAUGAUUAUGAAUAUAAAUAUUUGAUAAUAAGUUUUGUAUCUUAGCUCUUUUUUGUUUAAUUUUCUAUUAUUAAAAGAUAUUAAACAACCACAUUAAUCAUAUAAUAAUAAUAAUAAAAAAUUUAUAUGUUAUGUUUUGAAUUUUUAAAAUGACUAUAAAUUACUAAAAACGUUAAAUGUCUCACACUAAAAUUUUAUGAUCAAUGGUUUAAACUUUUUGGUAAUAACAAGAUACAUAUGAUCAUAAAUCGUAUGAAUAUAAAAUCUCAUUUACUAGACAUUCAUAUUAUAUAUUGAUAUAUUUAAAAUUAAACUAUAUAACAUAGAAAAAUACUUAAAUAUGAUAAUUUCUAAAUUUGUAUUGAGAAAGUAUUAAAACCUUAAUAUUUUAAUUUUAAAAUUUGCAUUCAAAAAAUCACACAUUAGAAAUUUUUUGUUUAUCAUAUGAGUAUGAAUUCUCAAUGAUAAAUAUUUAUAUAAAAAUAUACUAUAUUUCUAUGUCCAUGUCAUUGAAAUUUAGUUAUAUACGAUAUAAAAUAAAUAAAAUGAUUAUUUUGAUUUAUAUACCAAAAAGUAUCGUAAGUAAACAAGAUGCAUUUUUUUAUUUAUGUAUUUACUCUUAUUUAAUAAUAUAAAUGUUACGUAAAUGAAUACAAAUAAAUAAUAAUAGAUAAAAAAUUAAUUUUAUAUAUAACAUUCAUCCCACACAAUUGCGCGGAUCUUAAGCUAGUAGACAUACUAUAUAAUAUAACAUUCUUUAGCAAUUUAAUUUUGGACUAACAAAAUUCUCAAUUGAUUCUCAAGUCGCCACGUAAGCAAAAUUAGCAAUUACGUGACAACUCAGUAUUAACACUUUUUUAAUUAAUACAAAUUACGAGCUAUAACAAAAAAAUUCUAUUUAUAUAUAGGGGGUAUAUAGUUUUUCACAGUUUAGUUUUUUACUUGCCUGCCAGUAAUGGGCCAAAAGCGUUGACAAAUAGGUUUUUUGGGCACACAACUUGAUGAUCCCCAUUGGGCUUUAAGUUAAAACUAAUUGAUUGGGAAGAUGAGACCCAUAGGAGCUGGAAACGAAAAAGAACACGUCGUAAUCAAACUUCUCAAAGCAGAAACGAUAGGCUCAGGCGCAAUGAGCUUUUAAAGGCCCAUGACAAAACUAGAACUUAGUGCAGAUUACAAGUAAUCUCAAAUGUCAUCGUCAUUUUCCUCUUCUUCUUUGUUUCCAAGUUCGUUUUCUUCUACCCAGAAAGCAAAAGAGAAAACACGAUGGAAACAAAAGGCAAUACAAAAUUUACAAUAAAAAAAACAAGAAAGAAAGAAAGAAAGAUAAUUUUAUUUCCUUUUUAGUUUUUUCCAAUUUGGAAAAUGGAAGUCUUACACAACAACGCACCUUCUUUAAUAGCAGUUUUGACGUGGUAAGUGGGUCCUACAAAAAGACUUCUUACCAUUACAAUCGUGGUCCGAGCACUAGCCUCUUCUAACUUCCAACCCUUCUCUCUCCCGACCCUCGCCUUCGUCUUCUUCCGUAAUCAUGGCCUCUUGCGCUACCGGAACAGAGGCGGCGAUCAGAGCAGCGGCAUGUAGAGACGGAGACGCGGCGGCUCAUCUAAAGCUGGUCUCCGUCCUCGUCAUCUUCCUCACAAGCGUUCUCGGAAUCUCCGGACCUGUUCUUCUCGCUCGUUACUUCCAAGGGAAGCCUCUCUACGACAAAGCCGUCCUCGUCAUAAAAUGUUUCGCCGCCGGCGUGAUUCUCUCGACGUCGCUAGUCCACGUCUUGCCGGAGGCGUUCGAGUCUCUCGCCGAUUGCCAGGUGUCGUCUCGACAUCCGUGGAAAGAUUUUCCGUUCGCCGGUCUGGUGACGUUGAUCGGAGUGAUCACGGCGUUGUUAGUUGAUUUAACGGCGAGUGAACAUAUGGGACACGGUGGUGGUGGUGGAGGGAUGGAGUACAUACCAGUUGGUGGUGAGGCGGUUGGGGGUUUGGAAAUGAAGGAAGGAAAGUUUGGGGCUGAUUUGGAAAUACAAGAAAGAAACGAGGAGGAAAUUGUGAAGAUGAAACAGAGAUUAGUGUCACAAGUGCUUGAGAUAGGGAUUAUAUUUCAUUCAGUGAUAAUUGGCGUGACCAUGGGAAUGUCACAGAAUCAGUGCACCAUUAGACCCUUAAUCGCUGCUCUUUCGUUUCAUCAGAUUUUCGAAGGUUUGGGCCUUGGUGGUUGCAUCGCUCAGGUCAGUUUCUUUCUUCAUUUUGUUUUCUUUCUUAAACUAAUUAAUGCAAAAUUCUAAUACUACUGUAUUAGAGUUGAAAUUAUUAGGAGAACAUUUAAUGAUACAGAGAAGAACGGAUGUGUGUGUUAGUGCUGAGUCUGCUGACUUCUAAAAUAUAAGUACUAAACUAAUUAAAAAUAAAUAAAAAACCUUGAAGAAGUAUAUUUGUUAGAUACAGUUAUAUAUAGAUGUUGACAUUUUAGCAUUUCAUAUGAUGUCAACAUUCUAAACUAGAGAUAUUGCAUUUCAUAUAAUGUCAACAUUCUAAACUAGAGGUAUUCAUUCCUGUUUAUUUAACGAAUAAAAUAUGAUGGGUUAGUAGUAGGCUUGUAUAUUCAAGAGAGCUUUGAAUAUGUGAUCUCUAAAUAUAUUUUAAAAGUUUAUUUCUUCAUAAUCAUGUACUAUAUGGCAAUAGUGACAAAUAAUAAGGUGAUUCUAAGAAUAUAAACAUAUACGAUCAUGCAUAACAACUAUAUAUGAACCCAAACAAACCUUUAUAAAAACCAAACCGAAUGAAAUUCAUGUGUCACUUUGGUUUCUGUAUCGAACCGAAAUUUGGAUUGGUGACCCUGCAAUAUCACAACAUUCGUGUGUCUCAUGUAUCGUUCCCACUAUAGUUGUUUUUUCAUGACAUCUUAGAAUGAAUAAAAAGAAGUUACAUAGUCAGUGUAUAGUUUACCACUGUAGUCUAUAGUUAUGGUUUUUUAUGCCAAGAAAAAAAAUGUUAUGGUUGGUUUUGAUUAUUUUCUUUAUUAUUAUUCAGGCCGGGUUUAAGGCAGGGACAGUGGUCUACAUGUGCUUGAUGUUCGCAGUAACAACUCCUCUCGGGAUAGUACUUGGGAUGAUGAUUUUCGCAGCGACCGGCUACGAUGACCAGAACCCAAACGCAUUGAUAAUGGAGGGUUUAUUAGGAUCACUAUCCUCAGGGAUUCUAAUAUACAUGGCCUUAGUCGACCUAAUUGCGUUAGACUUCUUCCAUAACAAGAUGUUGACUACGGCGGAUGAAUCAGGUUCCAAGCUGAAGAAGCUUUGUUUUGUGGCCUUGGUCUUGGGUUCUGCUUCUAUGUCACUUCUUGCUCUCUGGGCUUAGAGGCAAAAACUAAACGUGUUAUAUAUACCAAAAGUGACCAUACCAAAAUGUUAUGACUCUAUAAAAUAUGUUUAAAACUUUAUAAUAUAAUCUAUUCCACAUCUUUAUGUAUAUUUACACAUUUAAACUUCUAUGUUAAACAAAGUUAGAUCUUUCUACUAUGCUACUUACUAUGUACUGUACUGAUCUUAUUUUAACAUCAUUUAGACGUAAUAAACCAUUCCAACUUCGAGCAGAGAAGUAUGAGGAACAUUAAGCACAACAUCCGUUCCUCUGCAGUUGGUGCUCAUGAACGCAAACACAACAUCCACCGCUAACUUCUUCAACACGGAAGAAGACUGCUUCGCCUUCGCGUAAGACUGUCCCAGUAUAUACGCUACUCCUGCCUCUUUCGCCUCCAUUAUCUCCAAAGUCUCUUCCUUCCUCAUCCUCAAGCUAUCACACCCUUCUUCUCCUUCGGUUCCCGGUUCGGUUUCAACAAACUCCACAAUAGCAGAGACUAACCGGCUUUCGAAGUCAUACAUCUCCCUCGGAACAUCUCUGUACCCAUACCUAACCACGCUCCUAAACAUCCCAUACUCUUUAGGACCAACUCUGCUUAUCACAAACCUCUCUUCUUCUCCAACGUAUGGAACCUGAACUGACUUAACGCAUACAAAGACAAGCACCCGGUGAAAGGCGGGCAAGUUGGUGACGAAAUGUCCGAAGACAGCUGGGACUCCGGUCACUAAAUUGGUGUAGACAAGUCCUAUCCCGGGCACUCUCACCAUCCCUAUACUCGGUCCUAACGCGACGAUCCGGUCUAUUGACACCUUGUUCUCAACGUCGAACUCGUGUUUCUUCGUAGUUCCGUAGUUCCAGAUGUACAUGACGGACAUGAAUGUCAAGGAGAGGAGGAUAGGGAUCCAGCCGCCUUCGGGUAUCUUGUAGACGCAUGAGGAGAAGUAGAGAAGCUCUACGGAGCCGAAAGAGAUCAAGAAAGCGAGAACUGUGAUGGUUCUCUGCUUCCAGACGAUAGUCAUCACUAAGCUCAUCAGACAUGUGGUCACAAGCAUCACAGACGUCACAGCAAGUCCUGCAGGGGAAAGCAAAAAGAGAUUAUUAUAAUCUAAAACGUUUAUGUUUAUGUUAAUGAUGAUGAUGAUGAUGGUUUUUAUUUACCGUAUGCGUGGCCGAUCAUGUUAGUGUCUCUUAACCCUACCGUGACAGCCAAGCAAAGACACAUUAACAUCCAGUUAACUUCAGGAAUGUAGAUCUGUCCGUGGAUUUUGCUUGAAGUGUGAAUGAUCUUGACGCGAGGGAAGCAGUCAAGAGCACAGCAUUGGCUUAUGAUUGAGAACGUUGCGGAGAUGACAGCUUGGCUUCCAAUCACAGCUGCAAAUGUAGCUAUGAUGAACACUGGCCAGAACACUGGCUCUGCAAAACAUAAACUUGUAGUUAUGAAUAAAAGAUCCCACACUUGCUAAAACCGUUGAAGAAGUUGUGUACCUGGUAUUGCCUUGUAGAAGCUUCUCUGAAUGUCUUCAUGGUGUUUAGAUAGAAACGCAGCUUCACCCAUGUAUGCAAGAAUCAAACAAGGGUAUACAAAGAACGAGAAAGCCACCUGCUUUCAGUUUUACGCUCAGAAGAGGACUCUUUUCAUUUGAAAGCCUAUCUUAUAGAGUUAAAAUGCUUUUACCUUGAUGGAUAGGGAAGAGAAGUGGCCUAAGUCAGCAAACAUAGUCUCAACACCUAAGGAGAAUAAACACAGUAGAAGAAUCAAGAACAUAAUCUUUGAUGAUGUUAUUGAUAAUGAUUAAAUGAUAUUUGGUUUCAGUAACUUUACCAGUGAUUGAGAGAACAACACCUCCAAGUGAAACCCACCCUUCUACACCGGUGUUUCUGAGGAACUUAUACAUGUAAACGGGUGAAAGCGCAGAGACUAUAUGAGGGUUCCAUUUGAUAGUGUUGUAAACACCAAUGCUGCUGAUUGAGAGAAGCCAAGCAGUGGAUAUUGGUGCGAAUAUGAAGGCCACUCUAUGAGUACCAAAACGCUGGACUGAGAAUAUCGCCACCAAGAUGAUACAAGAGAUGAUCACAACAUAAUCUGCAAUUAAAAGAAGACUUAAGCUUUUGAUAUAUAUAUGUAUGUAGUGAAAGUAAGCAAACAGAUUCAGACAUACUCUCGUGAAGUUGUGGAAUCUUGAGCUUCACUCCAGAAACAGCUGAAAGAACUGCAACAAACAAACUGUGUUUAGAAUUUGAUAAACUGAAUCUAAAGAAGAAGAAUCUUGAGUUAAGGGUUAAAUGAAUGAACCUGAGAUUGUUGGAGUGAGGACACUAUCACCAAUGGCCAUACACGUCCCUAAAAGCACAAAUAUCAACAGACCCUUUUGAGACUUAGGGUGCUUCUCAAAGAAUGACUUAACCGCUGCGCUCUGCCUUGUCUCUCCAGGGCUUCCCGUUGCAUAUGUUGACAGCUUCUCAUCCAUUUCUUGAUGGUUUGGUAACACUCUUAGCUUCGCAUACCUGCAGAGAAGCGAGUACAACGCAAAUGUCCCACCUUCUCCAUUGUCAUCUGCUGAUAGGACAAUGAAAACGUAUUUGAAAAGAGCAAUGAGUGUGAAGGUCCAGAAGAUGAAAGAGAACACUCCAAAGAUCUCUUCAUCGUCUUCAUGGAGACUUAGUUUCCCGGAGAAAGUGGUUUUGUAGACAUAGAGAGGCGAUGUGCUUAGAUCACCAUAGAUCACUCCAAGGCUUUGGUAAGCCAAAGUCAGAACAUUGGCACAUGAAACAGUCUUCUUCAAGUGCUGAAACAUUUCAACAAACAAAGAUUAUGAAUGUUUAUCCACAAGGCUUAUGUAUAUACAAAAAAAAACAUUAAAUUUCUCAGAAAGCAAUAACCGAUCAAGUAUAAUCUCUAAUCUUUUUCCUUAAAAAUACUGACUUUUUUAUUGCAAAACUAAUGUCUCCUGCUUAAUUACAUCAACACUCACAAUUAGAAGUUUCAAAUUCACAACUUAUCUAAUUUCAACAAACAUGAAAAAAGCGUCCACGUCUUAAUUUAUUUAUUUAAAUUUUGGGUAAAUAUCAAAGUCAAUAUGGUUAAGCAAGAGGACCUACCAGUCCUACUUGAGAAACAAUCCAAAAAACUUAUUGAAGAAGAAGAAGAAAGAACAUUUAAAACCCUUUGCUUUCACUUGUUGUUCUUCUUCUUCUUCUUCUUCCAGAUACGAAACCGAAUCUCAACCACACAAGUUCUUUACUGAAACUCGCAUUGUCUCCAAAAUAGAAAACCCAGAAGAAAAGUUUGGAUCUUUUUAAAAAAAUACGAGAGACAGAAGUGAUUGUCUUUAACUCUUAACUAAUAGACAGUGAACAUGAAAACAGAGCAAACUGAGAGAAACAAAACAGACCUGUCGAGAGAUUCCCUGUUCGAUUAGAGAGGGUGAUUGGUUCAUUGCCCCAAGCAAAGUGUUGUUUUCAGUUUGGAGAAAGAUUUGGAGAAACAGAGAGAAUAUUAUAAUGUGAAGAGAGAGAGAGAGAGAGAGAGAGAGAGAGAAGUUGGGAAAUGAAUAAAGAGAAGUAAGCGAGUCUCUGAGGAAAGAUAGGAAGAAGAGUGGUGUGUGAUUUGGUGCAAAGAAGAAACUUUGCAGGUUUUUCAUUUAAUGCUUUUGCUCAUUCUCCCUUUUUAUAUUUCCAAAUAAAAAGCUUAUAAUUUUAUUUAUGAUUUAUUUUUCAUUAAAAAAAUUUAUAAAUUAUUUUGUGUUGACAAGCUUUUUUGUUGUUUUGUCAUUUCUCUCAAUAAUCAUUCCUAGCAUUGUCUUAUAAUAGUAUAUUUUAUUAAAUUUUUUAUAUAUCAUUUAUUUUAAGAUAUAUCAUUAUUUAUGAAUAAUAGCUUCGGGUAAAUAUAAUUACAGUACUACAGGCAAACAGCUAAUUGGAACAGUAAUUCUGUUCGAUAGAAUAACCUACAUCACCUACCUCUGUAACAAGACAGCUAAUGAUGGGCUGUAAUAUUAAUUACUAUCUGCAAUAUUUAACCUUGAUAUUUAUUUACAGAUUAAUGGCCUAUUUAUUGCAAAAUUACGUAUGAUAGAGGCCUACUGUUAUUUAUUUACAAAUUAAUGGCCUAAAUAGGGAUCGCACAAUAAAAUAUGGUAAUGGUGAAAAAAGUGCAGAAUAUAUUGAUGAAUAAAGUUUUGGAGUGAAAUAAGUUUUUGAAUGAUGCAUUCUUUUUCUUUUAGCAAUUUAAUAAGCAAACAUAUAUUUUUAAAUCACGAUUCUAUAAGAGUGAAGAUUCCGGUAAGAAAAAAAUGUCAGUAUAUACCUCUACAGAUGAUUCAUUAGAGCAUCUCCAAGGGCACUCUAUUUUUUCCUCUAUAAUUUACACUAAAAUAGAGUAACUCUAUUAUAGAGUUAAAUUUGCUCCAAUGGUUCACUCUAUAAUAGAAUUACUCUAUAAUAGAGUGAAAUAUAGAGUAAUCUUAUUUUUUUACUCCAAAUAUAGAGUGAAAAAAUAAGAAUACUCUAUAUUUCACUCUAUUAUAAAGUAACUCUAUUAUAGAGUGAACCAUUGGAGCAAAUCCAACUCUAUAAUAGAGUUACUCUAUUUUAGAGUGAAAUAUAGAGAAAAUUAUAGAGUACCAUUGGAGAUGGUCUUAGGGCAUCUCCAACCCUACUCCAUUUUUGUCUCCAAACUCAAUUAUGGAGUAAAAUCUUCUCCAACCUCAUUCCAUAUUCAACUCCAAAUGGAGUAAUAGCUAGGGUUACUCCAUUUAUGGAGUAAUCUUACCCAUUACUCCAUUUUGGAGUUAAACUUUUUAUAUUUAUGAAAUAGUCUUUUUGAUUUUUAAUGUUUUUAUUUCAUACUUAAAAUAACAUAAAAAAAUAUAAUAUUCCACAAAAGAUUACUAAUUUAUAGUUUACAGAAAAUAUGCAUAAACGCAUAAAAGUCAAAACUAAGAAUAAAAAAUAUAAAAUAAAUAUAAUAUAAUGUAAAUAAGUAAUUUAAUAAUUAAUUCGGUAAAUUGUUUUCGAAACUACCAAAAGUGGUGAAGUAUUAUUCAAACGGAAUAGAUGAGUUUUUUAAUUUUGUGGGUCAAAAUUUUGAUUGAUAACAUUUGUACUUGUUGAACUUGAUAUAUGCACAAACAAACAAUAGGACCCAAUACAUAAUUCAAAUUACAAAACAAAACUUUAUUUUUUCUUUAUGUUCUUUUAAUGCAUAAAAAUAUUUUUGAAUUAGAAAAAUUGCAUAUGAUAAAAUCUGCACGAAUUGAAAUUGGAAGAUAAUCUCUAGUUGUAUUUUUAAUGAUAAAUAUUUAGUUUAAAUAAAAUAUAUUAUUUUAGAAAUUUUGUAAACAUAAAAUAGUUAGGUUAAUUGUUAAUUUUUAUAAGUUGAAGGUACUAAUAACAAUUAUUAACUAAAUGAAAAAAAAAUUCUUUUUGUUUGGAGUAAAAAAUGGAGUAAUUCAUUGGAGUAAAAUCGAACUCCAUUUUGGAGUUACACCAUUUUGGAGUAAAAUUUGGAGUAAUACAUUGGAGAUGCUCUUAGUACAAUCAGUCAAUCAUAAGAAACUAUAGUCUAUAUCUCAUAUGAAACACAGAGAUUAGAGAUAAGUUCCUUAAAAAAUACGUACUUAACUUUAUACGUUUUUAGAUAGUCAUUUGGGUCAUAUAAUAUUCAUUUUCAUACUUAACCAAAUAUUGUGAAUUUUUAAAUUUUGUGUACGCCGUCAAUAAAUACUGUUAAGCUUAAUAUUUUUAUGCUUUACUGUUAAUGUUUUAGGCAUGAUAAUUUACAAUUUGUUGUGACUGAUUCGUUUUUUUUUUUAACAUAAAAAAUGUAUAUUGUUCAAUUUUUACUAUUAAUGAGUUUUUCGUUAGAUUGUACAUCCUAAUCAUCAUUUAUUUAAUUUUUUUUUGAACAACCAUCAUUUAUUUAAUAUAAGGCCUUUCUUAGGCUUAACACAAUAAAAGUAUUGUGUUUCACACUAAAUCUUACCUAAAAUUAGCGAGAAAAGAUGAUUAAUACUGAAAAUUACAAUUUUGUCUCAAGGAAACAAAAAAAUAUAUAAAGACAGAGUCUUCUUAAAUAUCUAAUAAAUAUGAACUCCGAAAUAUGUAAUCACUAUCAGAUACUGGAUCAAUUUAUCUGAUAAGUACUAUAUACAUUCUCAAAUUAAAAACUCUGGAUUACUUUGAAUAGUUAACUGGUUAAGUAAUAAAAUUCCAAGAUGGCCAACAAAAUUGACUGAGUUUGAAUAGUCAGUCAAUUGAGUAACCAAAUGCCUGAGAAGAAAGAAAACGAUGGAUUGGGAUUCCGGUCCAACUCUUUUAUGUUUUCAGAGAUAACUUAGUUGUGUUACAAAAAUAAAAGAGAUAACUUAGCUAUCCCUCCUCUGCCAUUUUCUAACCAAACUAAUAAAUAAUCAUCAAAGAUUCAAAGUGUUGAUAUUUGAAUAACCAUUAUAAUUAAAUGCGAAAAUUGUUUAACAUUUGUUUUUGUUCACUUCUCAAAUAACCUAAAUACUUUUAUUUUCUUAAUGAAUAUAGCGAAGCCUUAAUUGAAGAUAUGAAAUACUCGAUAUCUAAGUUUUUAAACAGAAUUUUUGGUAUUGAUGUUGCGCAGCACCGGGGUGAAUCUUGAUGUAAAUUUGACUGGGUGCAUAAAGUAUGCAAAUUAAUACAUUAAUGGGUGCAAUAAUUAUAAUUUUCCAUUUUAUCUAAUGGCAAUUGAAAUAAUAGUAGUGGGUGCAUGUGCACCCCUUCCUGUCUCUUUGGUUUCGCCCCUGGUUGUGCACCUUUAUUAGCUACUACUUCACCUUUGCUUUUCUCGUAAGUGGCAUCGAUGCCUCCAGAUACAGCCAUCUGGUGCGCCAAAUCUUGGGACCAUAAUGAUAAGAACGAAAGAAGUUGAAUACUACACCGAAGUUGUAAUUACUUAAAGAUAUCUUCAUCAAUACUUUAAUGGUAACGCCAAUAAUUCUCUUCUUUCGGGUUCUCAACCUCUCAUCCAGCUGAGAGAAAUGCUGAUCAAAAUACAUGUAUUUUUAUUUAAAUUCGUAUAGACAAGUCAAGAUAUAUAUAUUUUUUUUUGCAACUAAGUCAAGAUAUUAUAUUUGUCAAAAAAAAGUCAAGAUAUUAUUAGCACAGUGCAUUAACUAUUUGCAUACCACACGUCGCCACGAAAAAUAUUUCCAAAUAAACAUUUAUAUUAACUUAAUGGGAAAAUCGCAUAAAAAACCUUGAAAGUGUCACUUACUAGCACUUUAAACUUUGAAGUUUUUUCACUAACAAUUUUAACCUUCAAAGUGACAUUUUUAUCAUAAAAAACCUCCAAAGAAGAAAAAUGACCGGCUGAACAGGUUAAAAACAGUUUUUUUUCAAAAAAUAAUUAUUUAAUUAAUAAAUAAACAAAAAAUUAAUAAAAUCAAAAAAUUUAACAAAAAAACUCAUAAAUUAAAAAAAAAUAUGAAAAAUAAAUAAAGAUUUAGAAAAUUAAAUAAAAAAUAACUAAAAAUUCAAAAAUACAUAAGAUCAAAUUAAAAUAGAGAAAAAAUAAUAAUAAAUUUCACAAAAUUGAAAAUUCAAAAAAGUUUUUUUUCCAUUUUCAAAUAUAAUGUCGGAAAUUAUCAUUGGAGAUAUGCCAAAAACGUCAUUGGAGAUAUGUCAGAAAUAACGGUUUUUGGCAUAUCUCCAAUGAUACGGUUUUUGGCAUAUCUCCAAUGAUAAUUUCUGACAUUAUAUUUGAAAAUGAAUGUUGAUAAAAAUGAUUUUUUUUUUAAUUUUCAUUUUUUUUUUGAAAUUUAUGUUUUUUCUCCAUUUUAAAUUGAUCCUAUUUAUUUUUGAAUUUUUUUGUUAUUUUUUAUUUAAUUUUUAAAUCUUUAUUUAUUUUUUGAAUUUUUUGAAUUUAUGAUUUUUUUGUUUAAUUUUUCGAUUUUUAUUAAUUUUUUUGUUUAUUUUAUUAAUUAAAUAAUUAUUUUUGAAAAAAAAUGUUUUUAACCUGUUCAGCCGGUCAUUUUUCUUCUUUGGAGGUUUUUUAUGAUAAAAAUGUCACUUUGAAGGUUAAAAGUGUUAGUGAAAAAACUUUAAGGUUUAAAGUGCUAGUAAGUGACACUUUCAAGGUUUUUUUAUGUGAUUUUCCUUAACUUAACUAUUAGGAUAUUUGUUUAUCAGAGGUAGGAUGCUUAAAUAGAAUAACAAUUAUCCUUUUCUUCUACCGUUUUCUCACCAAAACUCAACAUGCACGCAUGACGUGUGUAAAUUGUUUAGUCUAAAUUUAAAUCUCACUCGAAGUUCGUGUGAUAUCGGAAAGCAGACCUAACUCUGUGUUAAUCAUCGCAAUUGCAGCUUGGUUUUUAAAGCUUGAAGCAUUAAAAAUGUG
rnacentral:lncRNA from 1 species